GGUGGGUUAGCUCAGUGGUUAGAGAUUCGGUUUUGUGACCGGAAGGUCCGGGGUUCGAACCUCACUAGAAGCG
rnacentral:tRNA from 1 species